rnacentral:rRNA from 1 species
CGAGAAAGCCCGCAAGGGUGAGUACAGCGGCGCACGGGUGCGUAACACGUGAGUAAUCUGCCCUGGAGCCCGGAAUAACCUCCCGAAAGGGAAGCUAAUGCCGGAUGAGCCCACGGGGUCCUUGGACUCUGAGGGAAAAGGCGGCCUCUGUAUACAAGCUGUCACUUCAGGAUGAGCUCGCGGCCCAUCAGCUAGUUGGCGGGGUAAUGGCCCACCAAGGCUACGACGGGUAGCUGGUCUGAGAGGACGAUCAGCCACACUGGAACUGAGACACGGUCCAGACUCCUACGGGAGGCAGCAGUGGGGAAUCUCGCGCAAUGGGCGAAAGCCUGACGCAGCAACGCCGCGUGUGUGAUGAAGGUCUUCGGAUCGUAAAGCACUGUCGCGAGGGACG